AUUCUCUCGCCUUCUCAGUGUUUUGAUUGCUAGGAAGCAAAGCAGCGUGGAGGCGGCGGCGACACUUUGUUUACUACGGAGGAGCAGAGCCGAGUACUCUGGAAGCCCGGGUGGGAGGAGGCGCUCGCUGAGCCCUGACCUCUGCUGCCGGCCCAGCCCGGCGGGCGGGCAGGGCAGGGGGCCGGGGACCGGGGGCGCGGACUGGGUGGGUGGAGGCGGCCGCGCGGAAUUCUACUCAAUCGUUCCCUCCUGGCUCCACCCACGAUGUCUUUGCUGAACGACGUGGGGAAUCGCUUGCUUUGAAGGCAUUUUCUACUGAUUAUCACUUAGCUGCUGCAUCUGUCUGAACUGGGAAGAAAAUAGGGAAGAAAAAUGUCUCAUGUCAGCCUCACAUCACAGAGAAGCAUGGAAAGCCCCCACCAAUCACAGACAAGAGAGAAGCUAGCCCUAGUCAGAAGAGCUUAUCUGCGGCUACUUUCCUUUCAGGUGGGAACAGUUUAAAUUGCCACUAAAUCACAAAAGGAAAAUCUCUCCUUGGUGUUUUUCCACCUCCAGGAGAUGUGCUAGUUUUAAUGGCCCAUUGGCCAUUGGCCUGUGCAUCCACUGAUGUUGGCAUCAGUAGAUGCUGAAGAUGAACGCCAACCGUUACAUGAUAACCCAGUAAAACAAAACCAGUUAGGCAUCUCAAUAUAUUAUCUCUCUUCUUUAAUGUCUAUGUAUUUGACUCAUGAUUUGAUUUUCUCUUUUCAUUGUAGACACAGCCAAAUUAGGAGCUUGACAGAGGUCUGGGGAAGUAGGGUGGAGAAGGAAAAGAAUGCUUCCCCCUCCUGGAGGGAUAGCAUUCGGAGAUAUUCCUAAUGUAAAUGAUAAGUUAAUGGGUGCAGCACACCAACAUGGCACAUGUGUACAUAUGUAACGAACCUGCACGUUGUGCACAUGUACCCUAGAACUUAAAGUAUAAUAAUAAAAAAAAAAGAAUGCUUCCCCCUCCCUGCUGUCCUCUGGACAUGACAGCACACCCUGAGUCCCUCGGUCAUCUCCAGCCAUGACUGGGGUGAGGAGAAGGCAAUGGGAACACAGGGGCUCUUUACAGAUCAUAGCAACCCCUCAUGAAGUUUGCCAUGAUGCUGGUCCUAUA